GACUGUACAAAGGUAGCAUAAUCAUUUGUCUUUUAAUUAAAGGCUGGUAUGAAUGGUUGGAUGAAAGAUAUACUUUCUUUACUUUAUAUAAAAAAAUUAAUUUUUUAGUUAAAAAGCUAAAAUGUUGUUAUAGGACGAGAAGACCCUAUAGAACUUUAUUUUCUUUGUAUACAAUCUUAAUGGAUUUUUAUAAGAUUGUAUAUAAAUGUUAAUUUUAUUGGGGUGAUAGAAAAAACUAUAUAACUUUUUCUAUUUUUUACAUUUAUUUAUGUUUUUUUGAUCUUUUAUUAAAGAAAUAAGAUUAAGUUACCUUAGGGAUAACAGCGUUAUUUUCUUGGAGAGUUCUUAUCGAUAAGAAAGUUUGCGACCUCGAUGUUGGAUUAAAAUAAGUGGCAGGAGUAGAAUAUUGUUUACUAGGUCUGUUCGACCUUUGAAUUUUUACA
rnacentral:rRNA from 1 species